AAAUUUAUAAUCAAGCACUUUCAAUAUGUUGUUCUGAAAUUUUAAAUUCCUUGAACUUCUUUAUUGAAUAUUUCAUAAUUGGAAAAAUUAUAUCUGCAUCACGAUAAAUACAUCUAACCAGUCUAACCAGGUAACUUUAGUGUUAAACAUAGUGUUUUCAUGUCAGACAAUGGAGAACGAAGCACUAUCGUAUGAAGAGCCGAUCUUGGAACAACAAGACAAUGAAUAUUUGGAAAUAGUUGAAAGUCCACGGAGAAAUAUAAAUGGGAUAUCAAGCAGGAUGUAUUUUGGCUUUGAUAUGCCACGAAUUCAGAAAAGAUCUGACAGAAAUCAGUACUUCAUGUGUUUUAUCAUAGGGUGUGUGACUUCGGCAUGUAUUAUAGCUCCUUUGCUCGUUGUUUACAGUCCAUCAUCAAAACAAACUGUUAUAAACGAAGGUAAUAUAUUUAUUACUUACUUUUUUUAUCAUUGAGAUUGCAAUUUAAGUCUGUAAAUCCCAAUUUUUUUUAUUUUAGGACAUUUCGAAAAUUUGAAUAGAAAUUGUGUUUAGCAUAAUAUUACCGAUGCCAAUUGUAUUGUACCAGAUGAGCAUUCCACAAUUGAUGCCUCUUUAGUGGUGUCCAAUGCAAAAAUUAUAUUUAAAGUCUAAUAAAUUAGAAACCAUAAAACGCAGAAACAAAACAAAAGGACCAAAAUUGAAGCCAAACCAGGACAAGCCAUCAGAGCUAUGCAUGAGGGAGAUACUUUCCUUAAGUUGUGUAAUGGCUGCUUGACCAGUGAUUAUUUGAUUCUUAUCAUUAUUCAUAAAAUGUCGAUAUAUCCUUGCACACAUAUACUGCUUGCUUCUAGAAAUCUGAAAAGGAAAUCCAUGCAUGUUUACAAGUGAAUUGUUUCAAAUUUGAGACAUCUGAUGUCAUUUUUCCCUUCACCUUACAUGAAGCACAUACACAAUAGAGUUGUCGGUUUUUACUAUGCCUGCUACAUGUUUAAAACAAUUGGAUAACAUACAAAACAAAUAUAUAUAUUUGACGCUUUCUUACCCAAAUACGUUUAAAUCUGUAAAGAAAAUAUUGCGAAAUGUGAAUUUUAGCAGGUUUCAGAAUAACUGUUUGGGAGUAAAAUUAUGUGCACACCCACUAGUGCCAUUAAAGAUAUCAAUGCAUGUAAUAUACUAGUAAUAUUUUGGUAGAAUUUCAUGUUUGCUUGAGUUUAUAGAUGGUUUGAUUUUGCUACAUCUUUGUGUAUUUUCUUCAGAGAAGUGUAAAUGUCUGAACAAUGGGCACUGUAUAAUGUUCAAUGGUUCCAACUUUUGUAUUUGUCCAGAAGGUUUCCUCGGCACUUCCUGUCAAAUUCAAGGUAAGGACAGUGCAAAUAUUGAACGUUGAUCAAAUGUAUGUUUUCGCAUGUACUUGACUGUCUGUAUUUCCGGUUUAAGUCUUACUAGGUACGGCGGUAUACAAUUAUGAUUGUCAAUGUGAUUGGUACCUAUGGAAGAAUUGAAACGUGUCAAAGAGACAACAACCCGAACAAAAAGGAGCAUGGUAGUACAUGUAUCAUGAUUAAAUUAUUCAGUCUUUUUUUUUUUAAAUUUUAUCCACAGUGCUUGCUCUUAGAUCGAAACUGAAAAUAUUGAAAUACUAUUGGAUUUAAAUGUCAGCAAAUUAAAAAAAUAAAUAUUUUGUUUUUUAAGAUAGUUUUAAUAAAUGUCUGUACCAAGUUGGAACAUUCGUUUGAUGUGUUUGAGCUUGUGAUUUUGCCUUUUGAUUACGGACUUUCCGUUUAGAAUUUUUCUGUUUGUUAUAUUUUUUUUUUUAUUAUUUUACCAUCUUUUAAUGAUUUUAUUAUUAACCAAUAUUAUAUUUAGAUGAAUGUAUUUCAUCAGUACCGUGUCAUAAUGAAGGAACAUGUAUAACUACAGAGAAUUCUUCAUAUUGUAUAUGUACAGAUGGAUAUCUCGGAAAGAAUUGUGAAUAUAGAGGUAUUUAAUGAAUCAAUAUGUGUCCUCUUCUUAAAACACUCUCCUCAAUCAUUUUGAGCUAACUGCCAUAUUCUUCAUGGUUCCGUAGGGUAGUACUUUUGAAAACUGUUCUAGGGAAGAACUAUCAAAAACUGUUCUCAAUUAAGUAGAACUGUCAUCAUCUGUUACAGGUAAAAACUAUCCAAAGAGAGACAACAGAUACAAAAACGCAUAACCAAAGCAGUACACAAAACACAACAUACAAAACUAGACUGAACAAAAAAAAAGUAUUCUUGAUAAAAAAAAAAUGGUCCAAACUGUUGAUGAACAUUUUGACGACCAUGUUACGCAAAAUGACCUGACAUAAUACAGGCAGAAAUGGAGUGCAGGUUUCAACUUUGAAGGCAAUAUUUAUGCACGAUGGUUCUACUCAUUUCUGUAUAUAUAUAUAUAUAUAUAUAUAUAUAAAUAUAUAUAUAUAUAUUAUAUAUAAUAUAUAUAUAUAUAUAUAUAUAAGUACGUCUGAGUCAGUGACAACCCUACAACAGAUGUAUCCAUCGGAUCGCCAUCAAUGAUGGUGAUACAUGGCUGUGUACAUAAUGUAUAUACAACUCGUCUAAACAUCAACCCAACAAUGUUAGAUCUGUAAUUUGCUUUCGCAAAUUUUUGGUUCUUCCCUCGCCGGGAUUCGAAACCAUGCUACUGUGAUAUCGUGACACCAAAUCGCCUGCACUGCAGCCGUCCCGCUAGACACACGACCACUUGGGCUCUCAAAAAAAGCUUUCGCUGGCCAUGUGUUACCUUUCCACGUCAGUUUUAAUCUAGCGGCGUCCUACAGUACAUGAUUAUAAGGCAUGAAGAUGUUAUUGUUACAGAUCAGCUAAAUUAUCUAUAGUAAAGGAUCCUACAAAUUAAUGUAAGAUACAGUCACAGAAAAUGAAAGCAAAUUUACAGAUCUAACAUUGUUGGGUUGAUGUUUAGACGAGUUGUAUAUACAUUAUGUACACAGCCAUGUAUCAUCAUCAUUGAUGGCGAUCCGAUGGAUACAUCUGUUGUAGGGUUGUCACUGACUCAGACGUACAUAUGAAUAUAAUUAUUUUCUGUGACUGUAUCUACAUUAAUUGUAGGAUCCUUUACUAUAGAUAUUUAGCUGAUCUGUAACAAUAACAUCUUCAUGCUUAUAUAUCAUGUACUGUAGUACGCCGCUAGAUUUAAACUGACGUGGAAAGGUAACACAUGGCCAGCGAAAGCUCUUUUUUGAGAGCCCAGGUGGUCGUGUGGUCUAGCGGGACGGCUGCAGUGCAGGCGAUUUGGUGUCACGAUAUCACAGUAGCAUGGGUUCGAAUCCCGGCGAGGGAAGAACCAAAAAUUUGCGAAAAGCAAAUUUACAGAUCUAACAUUGUUGGGUUGAUGUUUAGACGAGUUGUAUAUACAUUAUGUACACAGCCAUGUAUCACCAUCAUUGAUGGCGAUCCGAUGGAUACAUCUGUUGUAGGGUUGUCACUGACUCAGACGUACUUAUGAAUAUAAUUAUUUUCUGUGACUGUAUCUUACAUUAAUUUGUAGGAUCCUUUACUAUAGAUAAUUUAGCUGAUCUGUAACAAUAACAUCUUCAUGCCUUAUAUAUCAUGUACUGUAGUACGCCGCUAGAUUAAAACUGACGUGGAAAGGUAACACAUGGCCAGCGAAAGCUCUUUUUUUUGAGAGCCCAGGUGGUCGUGUGGUCUAGCGGGACGGCUGCAGUGCAGGCGAUUUGGUGUCACGAUAUCACAGUAGCAUGGGUUCGAAUCCCGGCGAGGGAAGAACCAAAAAUUUGCGAAAGCAAAUUUACAGAUCUAACAUUGUUGGGUUGAUGUUUAGACGAGUUGUAUAUAUAUAUUAUAUACAACUCGUCUAAACAUCAACCCAACAAUGUUAGAUCUGUAAAUUUGCUUUCGCAAAUUUUGGUUCUUCCCUCGCCGGGAUUCGAACCCAUGCUACUGUGAUAUCGUGACACCAAAUCGCCUGCACUGCAGCCGUCCCGCUAGACCACACGACCACCUGGCUCUCAAAAAAAAAGAGCUUUCGCUGGCCGUGUGUUACCUUUCCACGUCAGUUUUAAUCUAGCGGCGUACUGCAGUACAUGAUAUAUAAGGCAUGAAGAUGUUAUUGUUACAGAUCAGCUAAAUUAUCUAUAGUAAAGGAUCCUACAAAUUAAUGUAAGAUACAGUCACAGAAAAUAAUUAUAUUUAUAAGUACGUCUGAGUCAGUGACAACCCUACAACAGAUGUAUCCAUCGGAUCGCCAUCAAUGAUGGUGAUACAUGACUGUGUACAUAAUGUAUAUACAACUCGUCUAAACAUCAACCCAACAAUGUUAGAUCUGUAAAUUUGCUUUCGCAAAUUUGGUUCUUCCCUCGCCGGGAUUCGAACCCAUGCUACUGUGAUAUCGUGACACCAAAUCGCCUGCACUGCAGCCGUCCCGCUAGACCACACGACCACCUGGGCUCUCAAAAAAAAGAGCUUUCGCUGGCCGUGUGUUACCUUUCCACGUCAGUUUUAAUCUAGCGGCGUACUGCAGUACAUGAUAUAUAAGGCAUGAAGAUGUUAUUGUUACAGAUCAGCUAAAUUAUCUAUAGUAAAGGAUCCUACAAAUUAAUGUAAGAUACAGUCACAGAAAAUAAUUAUAUUUAUAAGUACGUCUGAGUCAGUGACAACCCUACAACAGAUGUAUCCAUCGGAUCGCCAUCAAUGAUGGUGAUACAUGGCUGUGUACAUAAUGUAUAUACAACUCGUCUAAACAUCAACCCAACAAUGUUAGAUCUGUAAAUUUGCUUUCGCAAAUUUUUGGUUCUUCCCUCGCCGGGAUUCGAACCCAUGCUACUGUGAUAUCGUGACACCAAAUCGCCUGCACUGCAGCCGUCCCGCUAGACCACACGACCACCUGGGCUCUCAAAAAAAAGAGCUUUCGCUGGCCGUGUGUUACCUUUCCACGUCAGUUUUAAUCUAGCGGUGUACUGCAGUACAUGAUAUAUAAGGCAUGAAGAUGUUAUUGUUACAGAUCAGCUAAAUUAUCUAUAGUAAAGGAUCCUACAAAUUAAUGUAAGAUACAGUCACAGAAAAUAAUUAUAUUUAUAAGUACGUCUGAGUCAGUGACAACCCUACAACAGAUGUAUCCAUCGGAUCGCCAUCAAUGAUGGUGAUACAUGGCUGUGUACAUAAUGUAUAUACAACUCGUCUAAACAUCAACCCAACAAUGUUAGAUCUGUAAAUUUGCUUUCGCAAAUUUUGGUUCUUCCCUCGCCGGGAUUCGAACCCAUGCUACUGUGAUAUCGUGACACCAAAUCGCCUGCACUGCAGCCGUCCCGCUAGACCACACGACCACCUGGGCUCUCAAAAAAAAGAGCUUUCGCUGGCCGUGUGUUACCUUUCCACGUCAGUUUUAAUCUAGCGGCGUACUGCAGUACAUGAUAUAUAAGGCAUGAAAGAUGUUAUUGUUACAGAUCAGCUAAAUUAUCUAUAGUAAAGGAUCCUACAAAUUAAUGUAAGAUACAGUCACAGAAAAUAAUUAUAUUUAUAAGUACGUCUGAGUCAGUGACAACCCUACAACAGAUGUAUCCAUCGGAUCGCCAUCAAUGAUGGUGAUACAUGACUGUGUACAAUAAUGUAUAUACAACUCGUCUAAACAUCAACCCACAAUGUUAGAUCUGUAAAUUUGCUUUCGCAAAUUUUUGGUUCUUCCCUCGCCGGGAUUCGAACCCAUGCUACUGUGAUAUCGUGACACCAAAUCGCCUGCACUGCAGCCGUCCCGCUAGACCACACGACCACCUGGGCUCUCAAAAAAAAAGAGCUUUCGCUGGCCGUGUGUUACCUUUCCACGUCAGUUUUAAUCUAGCGGCGUACUGCAGUACAUGAUAUAUAAGGCAUGAAGAUGUUAUUGUUACAGAUCAGCUAAAUUAUCUAUAGUAAAGGAUCCUACAAAUUAAUGUAAGAUACAGUCACAGAAAAUAAUUAUAUUUUUAUAAGUACGUCUGAGUCAAGUGACAACCCUACAACAGAUGUAUCCAUCGGAUCGCCAUCAAUGAUGGUGAUACAUGGCUGUGUACAUAAUGUAUAUACAACUCGUCUAAAACAUCAACCCAACAAUGUUAGAUCUGUAAAUUUGCUUUCGCAAAUUUUGGUUCUUCCCUCGCCGGGAUUCGAACCCAUGCUACUGUGAUAUCGUGACACCAAAUCGCCUGCACUGCAGCCGUCCCGCUAGACCACACGACCACCUGGGCUCUCAAAAAAAAGAGCUUUCGCUGGCCGUGUGUUACCUUUCCACGUCAGUUUUAAUCUAGCGGUGUACUGCAGUACAUGAUAUAUAAGGCAUGAAGAUGUUAUUGUUACAGAUCAGCUAAAUUAUCUAUAGUAAAGGAUCCUACAAAUUAAUGUAAGAUACAGUCACAGAAAAUAAUUAUAUUUAUAAGUACGUCUGAGUCAGUGACAACCCUACAACAGAUGUAUCCAUCGGAUCGCCAUCAAUGAUGGUGAUACAUGGCUGUGUACAUAAUGUAUAUACAACUCGUCUAAACAUCAACCCAACAAUGUUAGAUCUGUAAAUUUGCUUUCGCAAAUUUUGGUUCUUCCCUCGCCGGAUUCGAACCCAUGCUACUGUGAUAUCGUGACACCAAAUCGCCUGCACUGCAGCCGUCCCGCUAGACCACACGACCACCUGGGCUCUCAAAAAAAAGAGCUUUCGCUGGCCGUGUGUUACCUUUCCACGUCAGUUUUAAUCUAGCGGCGUACUGCAGUACAAUGAUAUAUAAGGCAUGAAGAUGUUAUUGUUACAGAUCAGCUUAAUUAUCUAUAGUAAAGGAUCCUACAAAUUAAUGUAAGAUACAGUCACAGAAAAUAAUUAUAUUUAUAAGUACUGGCCUGACCAGUGAGUGUAACCAAGACGACUGGGUUUAAGUGAAGAUAAAACAAUCAGGAGCUGACUUUUAUUUCACUACCAAUCCAAAUGGUGAAAAACUGAAAAUACAAAUAUAAAUACAAUUUUACAAUGUGUUCAAUGAUAAUUAAAGUCCAUUAAAAAUACGGAUAAAAAGUUCGUAGAUAUAUAAAGCUGUUAAUGUUCUUUAUAAUAAUAAAAAGAUGAAUAUUAUUGCACACGUCGGGUUCUGUCUUGAAUUAAAUCGUGUAAUCGCAGAUACGAAACUUUUUGAACGGUAAAAUGUUCAUAGUUUCUUUAUAACAUAGGGAAAUAUGUUAAAACAGUUCAUCGCUAAUGUAAAGAUAUAAUUUGCAAUGUUUUGAAAGUAACUCACGCUGUGGUUAGCCACGAAUUGUUCUUUUGGACAACGUGUCCGCUGAAUGUUCUUUGCAGUUGUGCAAUAUAUAUAUAUAUAUAUAUAUUGUCCCCAAACUAGGUCCUCUAUUUACAUAAAUACAUAUGUGCUUUCUGUGCAAAACGGCUAUUCAUUUAACUGGCCUUAAUAAUUAGGUAUUUGACUUUUUUUACUGACCUACUAGCAUUUUGUUUUAUUUAUGAUAGACAUGGUAAACAGGUACAUUAUGAUAUCGGGAUCUUCAUUCAUGUUUUACAAUUGCGUAUUUCACACAGAGUCAAAUUAUAUUUUAGGUCCUUCAGGUUACCAGUUUUUCGUAGUUUUUAAUCCGAGACAGAGGAAAUCUACUCUUUACCUGUCAUCCCGGAAGCAUGGACAUUGUGAUAUCAUUUACCCAUCUUUUGAACAAACCAAAACGCUGACAUUGGAAGGAAAAUAUGUAACAUUUGACCUGUCGGAUAAAUAUGAUUUUACUAACCAUUCCGAAAACAGUGAUGUCUAUGUUCGUAUUUUCUGUGACGUCCUCAGUACUUUAUUUCAUUUCGUAAGAGAUAGUUAUGGCUCCAUUUGGGAGUCAUACAUUGUGAUACCCUCUGCAUUGUUAUCUACGCAGUAUGUUGUACCAAAGUAUAAAACGCAGCAGAAGUUUGAUGCACUUGGAAUAAUAGCAAUCGAAGAGGAUACACAAAUCAAUGUUAGUUUUACAUCGGCACGGUGGAUCCUGAGUAACAUUACAUUUCGUCAAAGCAUUUACCAUAAGAGCCAGUUAUUGUCAUUUACAACAGAUCCAUACGUAUACAAUUUUAUAAGCUGCGAUGAGUGUUAUCUUACCGGAACAUAUAUUACAUCAACUUAUCCAGUUGCUGUGAUGUUUAAAUCAUCCAUUCCUGAGGUAGUUCCGGUACUACCUUAUAAAGAAUUUAGUCGUCAAUUCAUAGUACCAAAACUUCAAGCAGAAAUAAAGACUAUGGGGCUAAGAAUAUAUGCACAUACAAGAACUAGACUGGAAUUAAAGGAUGAUAAUAAUAUAGUUUCUACUUCAGUCAUAAAUGCAAACAACUACCAUAACACAAAUCAUAAGAACACUACGGCAAUAACGGCCGACAAAGAUAUAUUAUUGUUCCUUAAGAUUUACAGUCCUCAUACCGGAACUAUUGAUGUUACUGUUCCUAGUGAUACACAAUAUUUACCUGAAUAUCAGUUUAUUAUUCCAAAAGGCACAAUGAAAAACAUUGCAACGUUUAUCGUCAAGUUAGGUUUUUCACAAGGUGUUCGGCUAAAUAAUAAUGUUAUCAAAUAUGACGAGUUUCGCCAGAAAAUGACAAUCAAUUUAAAAACCCAUGUAUACCAGAUUUUCUCGGUCAAUGUUACAACCGGAUGGCACACAGUUCAUCAUAUUGGACAUGUGCCGUUUGGAAUUUUAAUUCAAGGUAUUUCAAAUUCUCAAAACAAGCAGUUUUCAAGUCCUUAUGCUUAUUUCCCUGGUAUGAACUACAGC
rnacentral:lncRNA from 1 species